GAGACAGGUGAAUCAUCGAAUCUUUGAACGCACAUUGCGCCCCUUGGUAUUCCGGGGGGCAUGCCUGUUCGAGCGUCAUUAGAAACCAUCAAACCCUAUGGUUUGGCAUUGGGCUUCAUCAGUAACAUGAUGGGCCUUAAAAUCAUUGGCGGCGCCGUUGGGUCCUGAACGUAGUAAAUUUACCUCUCGUUACAGGGUCUCGACGUGCUAUUUGCAGCCAUUAAACCCCCCAAUUUUUCAGGUUUGACCUCGGAUCAGGUAGGGAUACCCGCUGAACUUAAGCAUAUCAAUAAGCGGAGG
rnacentral:misc_RNA from 1 species